UUGGAGGGCAAGUCUGGUGCCAGCAGCCGCGGUAAUUCCAGCUCCAAUAGCGUAUAUUAAAGUUGUCGCAGUUAAAAAGCUCGUAGUUGAAUUUCGGGAUUGACACAUCGGUCGUGCCUUAAGGGGUAUGAACUGGCGUAGUCAAUUUCUCACCUUCUGGAGAACCGCGAUGUCCUUAAUUGGGUGCCGCGAGGAACCAGGACCUUUACUUUGAAAAAAUUAGAGUGUUUAAAGCAGGCAUUUUGCUUGAAUACAUUAGCAUGGAAUAAUAAAAUAGGACGGCAUGAUUCUAUUUUGUUGGUUUCUAGGUUCACCGUAAUGAUUAAUAGGGAUAGUUGGGGGCAUUAGUAUUCAAUUGUCAGAGGUGAAGUUCUUGGAUUUAUUGAAGACUAACUACUGCGAAAGCAUUUGCCAAGGAUGCUUUCAUUAAUCAAGGACGAAAGUUAGGGGAUCGAAGACGAUCAGAUACCGUCGUAGUCUUAACCAUAAACUAUGCCGACUAGGAAUCAGACGAUGUUAAUUUUUUAGUGACUCGUUUGGCACCUUACGGGAAACCAAAGUGUUUGGGUUC
rnacentral:rRNA from 1 species